rnacentral:sRNA from 1 species
UACAUUCUAGAAUUUUAGAUGCCUCCUG